GCCCGGCUAGCUCAAUCGGUAGAGCGUGAGACUCUUAAAACUGAACUCACGGUUACAUCUCAAGGUUGUGGGUUCGACCCCCACGUCGGGCU